GCGCUGAGGGGACCGUGGGGUCACGGAACCAGGGAAUCACGAAAUCGCGGCGUCAUCGAGGUUGGAAGGGCAUCUACUGGUUUAAGAGCAUCUACUGUUUUAAGAGCAUCUACUGGUUUAAGAUCGUCUCUUCCACCCGUCAGCCCAGCACCGCCACUGUAACCCCUAAACCACCCCACCACGUCACCCAGGGACAGAUGCAGACGCCUCUUGAAGGCCCCGAGAGAGGGUGACUCCACCACGUUCCCGGGUAGCCCCUUCCGAGGUCUGACCGCCUGGACGGUGAAAAGUUUUUUCUAAUCUGUAACGUCGCGGCCCCGCUCGCCUCAGCGCUCGCUGUGCCCUCAGGAGGCGGCUGCCAUCCCUCGGCCCCUCAGAGGAUGGAAGGCAGGGCCGACAGGGAUGAGCAAGGGGCUGAGCAUCUCCCUGAGGAGGAGACGCUGCCGGAGCCAGGCUUGGCUAGUCUGGAGAAGGGAAAACUCAGAGAGAUCUCAUCAAUCCGUGCACAUAUCUCCAAGGAGUGUCAGAGGACAGUACCAGACUCUUUUCAGUGGUGCUCAGAGACAGAACAAGGAGCAAUGGUCAUAAACUAAAACACAAGAAAUUCUACCUCAACAUGAGGAAGAGCUAUCCAUUGAGCAGAGCACUGGACCAGCUGCCCAGGGAGGGCAUGGAGACUCCCUCUCUGGAAUAAUCCAAACCCUGGACGCAUUCCUGUGUCACCUGCUCAAGGUCCAUAAGCUUGGCACUGGCUGAGCGAGGCUGUGGAACAGGCAGGGUCUCAGCAGAGGUUCGACAGCCACCUCAGCCAAUCUGUGAGUCAGGUAACAAUGGAAGCGUGUGCUGAGAGGGGAUGGUUAUGUGUUCCCACACCUCACAGCAUCCCCUGCCACCCAUCCUCCCCGGGAUCCUCAAAAAUCCCUGGAGAAACACCCUGUUCCACUAUAACCUGAGAUUAGCUCAGUUGGUCAGGGCAGUGCCACUAACAGAAAGACUGUGGGUUCAAUCCUUGUAAGAGCCAUUCAUUUGAGGUUUGGACUUGAUGAUGCUCAUGGGUCCCUUUGAACUCAGAAUAUUCUGUGAUCUACAGAAGCCGUUCUGGUGUGCAAGGUCUUCUGGCUGACGUUUGCUGCGUUGCUUUGGUGACAUUCAGCUCAGCUGUAGGAACAUGUGUGGCCCCAUGCCACCAGGCCACGCGCUGUCCAAGCCACCCUGCGCAGCCCGCGGCUCCUAAAGCAUGAGGUAAUGGGGAGCUGGGAGCCAGCAUGAGGCAGGACUGCCAAAACCACAUGGAAACUGAGAGACAAGUGAUAAAGCAAAAGGCCUGUGAGCGUUAAGCUACAGAAAACACAGGAAAACUGGAGAGCAGCAGCAGUGUUGGAGGUGGCAGGAACAUUGCUGGUUCCAAAAUGAAGCUCUAGCUAAGCCUUGUGCAAUGGAGUUCCUUUCCAGCAGCAAGAUUUAUAUCUGGGUUUUGUUGCAACUGCGAUGGAUCGUUAAUGUUUUAUUUUUAUACAUAUCUUUAAUUUACAAUACCAUAUGUAGGUCAGGUUGUACUUUUGCGGGAGAUUUCCACCUGCUUCUCAUGUUCGCCUUGAUCUGAAAUGAAAUGCUUGCAAGUAGCUAUAAAAUGCACUCCUAAAUUAUCCACAGGACUCUCCCUCUGAGUCCAAGGCUAGUCAUGGUAACAGAUGGACUUCAGUCUGUCAUUAGGUCAUGUCUAAGCUGGAAGGAGCAUAAGUGUUCAGAAGGAACAAUGCAAAAUACAGAAGCCUGUGUCUUCACACUCAGAUAUGAGCCACGCAGUGAGCUGUGUUCUGGUUUGGCUCCCUUGGUCAGGGACAGCAAACAUUUGAAAGGAAGUUAAUCAGCCCCUCUGAAGGGAUUUUUACCAACAACAAGCCAUCAUCUAAAUGCAAAUGUGAUCUGAAUACCAAUAUGUACUUUCAGAGGAACUUUGGAAGAAAUACAGGUAACUGAAAGGAAAAAACAGGAUUCCUGGCCUGUUUACACCCAAAAGGAAUGAAAAUAUGUAGAGCCAGUAGAGCUGUAGCUGAAAAUGAUGUGUGUUGACAGCAUCAGCAAGCAAAAUAUGAAUUUUGAGAAGUCCCUGUUAAAUGUUGCCUUUUGCAGUGUGCCUGGAGGGAGAUCAAAUGCGACCUACUUUGGGAAGCUGAAUCCUGGAAACCUGGGGCUCCUGUACAGCAGAACCUGCUGGGUGCUCCUUCUGGUCCUUAAAGAGGGGGAAAUCCUGCAGUGCCAUCCCUGUGACAGGAAAAGCUGGCACUUCCAGCUGCUUGUUAUAUUUGUACAUUUUCUCUUUACCAAUCUGGUCACACACAGUGCACGGAGACAUUCUAUGUGUUGUGUCCCAAACCUCUUUUUAUCUUGUGUUCCAGUCUAUUUUUUAAUACAUUGCUCAGUGUUAAAUGA